GAAGCAAGAAACUCCAUAGUGCUAUGGUUUCGGCCCAUAAAUAGGUACACUUCAUCGUACCCUUGCUUCA
rnacentral:tRNA from 1 species